rnacentral:rRNA from 1 species
AACGAACGCUGGCGGCAUGCCUAACACAUGCAAGUCGAACGAAGUCUUCGGACUUAGUGGCGCACGGGUGCGUAACGCGUGGGAAUCUGCCCUUGGGUGCGGAAUAACUUCUCGAAAGGGAUGCUAAUACCGCAUAAUGUCGUAAGACCAAAGAUUUAUCGCCCAAGGAUGAGCCCGCGUAAGAUUAGCUAGUUGGUGGGGUAAAAAGCCUACCAAGGCGACGAUCUUUAGCUGGUCUGAGAGGAUGAUCAGCCACACUGGGACUGAGACACGGCCCAGACUCCUACGGGAGGCAGCAGUGGGGAAUAUUGGACAAUGGGCGAAAGCCUGAUCCAGCAAUGCCGCGUGAGUGAUGAAGGCCCUAGGGUUGUAAAGCUCUUUUACCCGAGAUGAUAAUGACAGUAUCGGGAGAAUAAGCUCCGGCUAACUCCGUGCCAGCAGCCGCGGUAAU